rnacentral:rRNA from 1 species
CCUACGGGUGGCAGCAGUGGGGAAUCUUGGGCAAUGGGCGCAAGCCUGACCCAGCAACGCCGCGUGAAGGAAGAAGGCUUUCGGGUUGUAAACUUCUUUUGACAGGGAAGAGCAGAAGACGGUACCUGUCGACUAAGCCACGGCUAACUACGUGCCAGCAGCCGCGGUAAUACGUAGGUGGCAAGCGUUGUCCGGAUUUACUGGGUGUAAAGGGCGUGUAGCCGGGCGGACAAGUCAGAUGUGAAAUCCGGGGGCUCAACCGCCGAACUGCAUUUGAAACUGUUGGUCUUGAGUAUCGGAGAGGCAGGCGGAAUUCCUAGUGUAGCGGUGAAAUGCGUAGAUAUCACGAAGAACCCCGAUUGCGAAGGCAGCCUGCCGCAGCGUUACUGACGCUGAAGCUCGAAAGCGCGGGUAUCGAACAGGAUUAGAUACCCGAGUAGUC